GACAGAGGCCCCGAGCGUUAGGCGGAAUCACUGGGCUUAAAGCGUGUGUAGGCGGGCCCGUAAGUGUCUUGUGAAAUCCCACGGCUCAACCGUGGAACUGCUGGGCAUACUGCGGGUCUGGGCCAACUAGGGGCAGCCGGAACAAGCGGUGGAGCGGUGAAAUGCGUAGAUACCGCUUGGAACGCCGAAGGUGAAAACAGGCUGCUGGG
rnacentral:rRNA from 1 species